rnacentral:rRNA from 1 species
UGUUCCAGGUAAAUCCGGUUCACUUUAACACUGAGGCGUGAUGACGAGGCACUACGGUGCUGAAGCAACAAAUGCCCUGCUUCCAGGAAAAGCCUCUAAGCAUCAGGUAACAUCAAAUCGUACCCCAAACCGACACAGGUGGUCAGGUAGAGAAUACCAAGGCGCUUGAGAGAACUCGGGUGAAGGAACUAGGCAAAAUGGUGCCGUAACUUCGGGAGAAGGCACGCUGACACGUAGGUGAAGUGAUUUACUCAUGGAGCUGAAGUCAGUCGAAGAUACCAGCUGGCUGCAACUGUUUAUUAAAAACACAGCACUGUGCAAACACGAAAGUGGACGUAUACGGUGUGACGCCUGCCCGGUGCCGGAAGGUUAAUUGAUGGGGUCAGCGCAAGCGAAGCUCCUGAUCGAAGCCCCGGUAAACGGCGGCCGUAACUAUAACGGUCCUAAGGUAGCGAAAUUCCUUGUCGGGUAAGUUCCGACCUGCACGAAUGGCGUAAUGAUGGCCAGGCUGUCUCCACCCGAGACUCAGUGAAAUUGAACUCGCUGUGAAGAUGCAGUGUACCCGCGGCAAGACGGAAAGACCCCGUGAACCUUUACUAUAGCUUGACACUGAACAUUGAGCCUUGAUGUGUAGGAUAGGUGGGAGGCUUUGAAGUGUGGACGCCAGUCUGCAUGGAGCCGACCUUGAAAUACCACCCUUUAAUGUUUGAUGUUCUAACGUGGACCCGUAAUCCGGGUUGCGGACAGUGUCUGGUGGGUAGUUUGACUGGGGCGGUCUCCUCCUAAAGAGUAACGGAGGAGCACGAAGGUUGGCUAAUCCUGGUCGGACAUCAGGAGGUUAGUGCAAUGGCAUAAGCCAGCUUGACUGCGAGCGUGACGGCGCGAGCAGGUGCGAAAGCAGGUCAUAGUGAUCCGGUGGUUCUGAAUGGAAGGGCCAUCGCUCAACGGAUAAAAGGUACUCCGGGGAUAACAGGCUGAUACCGCCCAAGAGUUCAUAUCGACGGCGGUGUUUGGCACCUCGAUGUCGGCUCAUCACAUCCUGGGGCUGAAGUAGGUCCCAAGGGUAUGGCUGUUCGCCAUUUAAAGUGGUACGCGAGCUGGGUUUAGAACGUCGUGAGACAGUUCGGUCCCUAUCUGCCGUGGGCGCUGGAGAACUGAGGGGGGCUGCUCCUAGUACGAGAGGACCGGAGUGGACGCAUCACUGGUGUUCGGGUUGUCAUGCCAAUGGCACUGCCCGGUAGCUAAAUGCGGAAGAGAUAAGUGCUGAAAGCAUCUAAGCACGAAACUUGCCCCGAGAUGAGUUCUCCCUGAGACUUAGAGUCUCCUGAAGGAACGUUGAAGACGACGACGUUGAUAGGCCGGGUGUGUAAGCGCAGCGAUGCGUUGAGCUAACCGGUACUAAUGAACCGUGAGGCUUAACCUUAC